CUGGAUGCCCAUGCCUUGAGGUAAUUCAUUUGGAAGGGUGUUGUAGUGAUGGUGUUUUAGAGUCUGCAAAGAAAACUCAAAAUGAUGGAGAUGGCCAGCUCGAGCUCCGCCUAGAAAAUAUUAUUACGAAGCCAGCUUAGCUGAGAUUGAAGAGAACUGAAACAACAAGCAUAGCAUCACAUGUUCUUCUACCACUUUGAAGGUAAGUUUGAUGAGUCCAGCAUCAUAUCAAACCGAAGCAAUCACCCAUACAUAUAUACCUCUUAGCUCCCCUGCUACCUACUCUCCCAAAACAAAUCCUAAGCUCUCUCAAUUUUGUUGUGAUUUAAGGUUAGAAAUUUACAUCUUUGCUUUGGUUUUGC